CUAACAGUAGCUCAGUUGGAAGAGUGCUGCAGUACUACUCUAGAGGCCACAGGUUCAAUCCUUGUCUAGUCCA